rnacentral:rRNA from 1 species
CACCGCCCGUCACACCAUGGGAGUUGAUUGCACCGGAAGCAGGUAGCCUGACCGCAAGGAGGACGCCUACCACGGUGUGGUCAAUGACUGGGGUG